rnacentral:rRNA from 1 species
GACGAACGCUGGCGGCGUGCUUAACACAUGCAAGUCGAACGGAAAGGCCCUGCUUUUGUGGGGUGCUCGAGUGGCGAACGGGUGAGUAACACGUGAGUAACCUGCCCUUGACUUUGGGAUAACUUCAGGAAACUGGGGCUAAUACCGGAUAGGAGCUCCUGCUGCAUGGUGGGGGUUGGAAGGUUUCGGCGGUUGGGGAUGGACUCGCGGCUUAUCAGCUUGUUGGUGGGGUAGUGGCUUACCAAGGCUUUGACGGGUAGCCGGCCUGAGAGGGUGACCGGCCACAUUUGGACUGAGAUACGGCCCAGACUCCUACGGGAGGCAGCAGUGGGGAAUAUUGCACAAUGGGCGGAAGCCUGAUGCAGCAACGCCGCGUGCGGGAUGACGGCCUUCGGGUUGUAAACCGCUUUCGCCUGUGACGAAGCGUGAGUGACGGUAAUGGGUAAAGAAGCACCGGCUAACUACGUG